CUUCCCCAGGGUGAUUCUCACUCCACCCUGCCCACACACAGCCUCCAUCCUGUAGCAUGUAUUCUCAGCUUUCUGGUUCUGCUGAUCCUACCUCUGUCUCUCACUACCAGUACUACUGCUGCCCCUUUCUGUCCCCUCAGUUCUCCAGGGGCAUCAAGUUCCUAGUUCCUCUGGCUCCCUUGGGUCCCACCUGUCUCCCUGUUUACACCCCAGAUCACUCUCUGUGAUCUCCUAGUAGCUUACCUGUGUACUUUGGAGGCCAGCUAUGCUGGUUACCAGCUUCCUGGUAUGCUUCCUUGUAGAGUGUCUCCCUCCCUCCCGUUGGCAGGGAGCAGCUGCGACUGAAGGCCGUGGUGGGCUACAAUGGGAAUGGGC
rnacentral:lncRNA from 1 species